rnacentral:rRNA from 1 species
UAACCUACCCAUAUCAGGGGGAUAGCCUCUCGAAAGAGAGAUUAAGCCCGCAUAACAUCACAACAUGGCAUCAUGAAGUGAUCAAAUAUUUAUAGGAUAUGGAUGGGCAUGCGGAACAUUAGCUAGUUGGUAAGGUAACGGCUUACCAAGGCUACGAUGUUUAGGGGAUCUGAGAGGAUGACCCCCCACACUGGUACUGAGACACGGACCAG